UACGGAGGAUGCGAGCGUUAUCCGGAUUUAUUGGGUUUAAAGGGAGCGUAGACGGCUUGGCAAGCCAGAUGUGAAAGGCUGGGGCUCAACCCCAGGACUGCAUUUGGAACUGUCAUGCUAGAGUGUCGGAGAGGCAGGCGGAAUUCCUAGUGUAGCGGUGAAAUGCGUAGAUAUUAGGAGGAACACCAGUGGCGAAGGCGGCCUGCUGGACGAUGACUGACGUUGAGGCUCGAAAGCGUGGGGAGCAAACAGG
rnacentral:rRNA from 1 species